GCUUACGGCCAUACCACCCUGAACACGCCGAUCGUCCGAUCUCGGAAGCUAAGCAGGGUCGGGCCUGGUUAGUACUUGGAUGGGAGACCGCCUGGGAAUACCAGGUGCUGUAAGUU
rnacentral:rRNA from 1 species